CCUACGGGUGGCUGCAGUGGGGAAUAUUGGACAAUGGGCGAAAGCCUGAUCCAGCCAUGCCGCGUGUGUGAAGAAGGCCUUCGGGUUGUAAAGCACUUUCAGUGGGGAAGAAAGCCUUGGGGCUAAUACCCUCGAGGAAGGACAUCACCCACAGAAGAAGCACCGGCUAACUCCGUGCCAGCAGCCGCGGUAAUACGGAGGGUGCGAGCGUUAAUCGGAAUUACUGGGCGUAAAGCGCGCGUAGGCGGUCUGAUAAGCCGGUUGUGAAAGCCCCGGGCUCAACCUGGGAACGGCAUCCGGAACUGUCAGGCUAGAGUGCAGGAGAGGAAGGUAGAAUUCCCGGUGUAGCGGUGAAAUGCGUAGAGAUCGGGAGGAAUACCAGUGGCCAAGGCGGCCUUCUGGACUGACACUGACGCUGAGGUGCGAAAGCGUGGGUAGCAAACAGGAUUAGAUACCCUGGUAGUC
rnacentral:rRNA from 1 species